AGCCAGAGGUGCUCCUAUGUGUUUGCUGAGCAAGGUGACGCUCCCAUGUGAUGGGUGAGCAACUGCAGUGUGAGUGGAGCUGCCGGUCCCGGGGCACACACACAGACUGACAGACUGAGAUUCCUCUGUGAUCGAUACUCCAUGGGAACUUUGAAUAUCAGAGCUGAAAUAACUUCUAAUGUGUUCAAGUCCACUAUGAAUAGAGAAACUGAGAAAUGAAUAGAGAAACUGAGAGGAUCUGCUUAGAGGCCCAAGGCAAGUGACAUCAUCUCUUUGGGGGCCGGUUUCUUCAAGACACUGGGUAAGAUGUCUGAAGGCUCCUUUGGUAGAAGCUCCCGUUUGCUGUCCUCGGUAUGACCAGCUUGGAGGAGACAAAGACGCGGUCCAGGGGCUUACCUAGAGGAGCCCAUAGCUAAGGGGGAAGAAUAAACAUAACCGAUAUGACUUGCUUCA
rnacentral:lncRNA from 1 species